GAACCAUCAGCAGACGAAACUGUUGCAGGUACUGUGGGGAAUGAAAUCUCUUCAACAGGCAAGCAACACAAACAGCCAUCAGCAGAGCAUGGAGCAUCUUCUGGAGUCAGUACUGUGGGACAUUCCCCCAAAGAACCGUCAACAGAGGAAACUGUUUCAGGUACUGUGGGGAAUGAAAUCUCUUCAACAAGCAAGCAACACAAACGGCCAUCAGCAGAGCAUGGAGCAUCUUCUGGAGUCAGUACUGUGGGACAUUCCUCCAAAGGUAAAGCUCCACAGAAAAGAACACCCUGGCAGCCGGCAGAGGUUAGGGCAGUAGAGAGGCAAAUGAAUCAGUUCAUCCGAUCUUGUACUGUACCAUCGAAGAGA